UCAAACUUGGUCAUUUAGAGGAAGUAAAAGUCGUAACAAGGUUUCCGUAGGUGAACCUGCGGAAGGAUCAUUACAGUAUUCUUUUUGCCAGCGCUUAAUUGCGCGGCGAAAAAACCUUACACACAGUGUUUUUUGUUAUUACAAGAACUCUUGCUUUGGUCUGGACUAGAAAUAGUUUGGGCCAGAGGUUUACUAAACUAAACUUCAAUAUUUAUAUUGAAUUGUUAUUUAUUUUAAUUGUCAAUUUGUUGAUUAAAUUCAAAAAAUCUUCAAAACUUUCAACAACGGAUCUCUUGGUUCUCGCAUCGAUGAAGAACGCAGC
rnacentral:misc_RNA from 1 species